UUUACCCAGCGAGGGGUUUACAAAAGAGAAAAGAGAUGGGUAAGAUAUACCUACUGUGUAGAGGCAACAUUGGAAGAGGUUGACUUUAUAUUUGAAUUCCCACCCGCAGUUCCCUUGAUGACAAGACAGCACAAUCGGUCUUGAGUCUAGGCAAUUUAUCUUGAGCCACUCCUUUAGCGCACAUGGGUCACAAUGUGUGUACGAAUUUGUAUUUGAGCACACUUUGUAAAAAAAAAACUUUGAGUUAAUUUACUAGUAUUCUGUGCGUGCACACUAUUUAUAUCACAGUGCUUACAUAACCAACCAUUUGUCUCCCCUUUCUUCAGGUGUAUGCACAACAUGACAGCACAUUACCAGGAAGAAAAUGACAUGUGACAAACACAAAAAACAACCCCCCCCCCCAACCACACACAAACACAUACCACUCAAAAAAUCAAGAACAAUCUUUUUAGCACAUUACAUAUUUUUGCACAUGUUUGCAUGUAGCACUAAUGCAAUACGUUGCAGUGGUGCGCAGCUGUCUUUUGCUGAAGCAGUUAAUUGAUGCUAAUGCAAUUAGCUUUGUUGCCUUCACCGUAGUCUCCUUGCACUGGAAACUGCAGGCAGUGGGUGAAAGGAGAAAACAUAUCUGUGCCUCUAAUUAGGCAAAAAAUGCAUACUGGAAAUACGUUUGGGACGCAGCUAAAUCACCCCAUAUUUCACAAGUCAUCCAUCGAUUUUGUAGCCCAAUGAAUAUUCCAAUGAGUUUCUGGAUAUAUUGCCCUAGAGGCCGCUAGCGGUGACUGCUAAUCACUGCCAAUGCCAUAUUGUCAGGUGAAUGUGUCACCGUUAUGUGACGUGAUUGGUCAGGAUGGCAGAAACCCUAGCACAGGAAACUGAGAGGUCCUGUAUAUCUCAUCAAUUACAGACCCUAAAAAGAAAAAAAAAAAAAACAAUUAACUAAGACCUAAACGUAAAAAAGAAAAAAAAAAAAGAAAAAAAAUAGAAUUAAUAGUUUGUUCUUACUAAAAAAAAAAAAAUCUAUUACGGCAGUACUAUGGAGUGUUUUACGGCUUAAGCUGUCAAUAUGAUUUUGAGCUCUUUUUCUCAGAUGGGAAAUAUCAUAUGACAGGGGCCCUCAUUUCUUAUUAGAUCAUAAAAAAUCAAAAAACGCUGUGUGAGUAGUGAUUACAUCCUUGUUUGACUGCUGAUUUAUGAAGCCGGCCUAAUACACACACUCAACCUAUAUCCCUAAACAAAUUCAAAAAGCCCACAGGCUGAAAAUGAAGUUACUUAAAAAACGGAUUUGUACACAUUUGAUUUUAUUUCUAGGAGUGCUGAAUGUCAUGCUUAAAUGCGUUUUCUCAGAAAAUUGGUAGGAAACCUGGGAAUCAGUCCCACCUUUCCUCCCUCUAGCGACGCCCUUGAGUGUCAAUAUUACUGUUGCUCAUGCUUAUAUGUACCUGUAGGUUUAUCGAGCUCAACAAACUACUAAACGCAAGUAUUAAAGUUUGGCCUCAUUUUGUGAUGUUUAUGCUAUGGGCAUAAAUGAUUCAUGUGGAGAGUUGUGCUAUUAGGUUCAAAGCAAUUUAGUUAAAUUGACAUCCCACAAUGGCAUACUAUACAUGCAUCAGCUAUUUAUUUUUUUUUUAAUCUUAAAAUAUGAAAACAAAAUCAUAUAAAUAUGG
rnacentral:lncRNA from 1 species